UCGCUCCGGCUCCCCUCGCCGUCCUGGACACGGCGGAGUGCGGAGCCGCCCGUAAGCUCUAGGGCCCGUGCAGGCCACACCAUGAACACCUCCCCAGGCACGGUGGGCAGUGACCCGGUCAUCCUGGCCACUGCAGGCUACGACCACACCGUGCGCUUCUGGCAGGCCCACAGCGGCAUCUGCACCCGGACGGUGCAGCACCAGGACUCCCAGGUGAAUGCCUUGGAGAUCACACCGGACCGCAGCAUGAUUGCUGCUGCAGGUAUCUGUGACCCUUGAUCUCUAAACUCCUGAGCUCUGGUGGGUCGACCUGAGCACAGCCAAGCUUCAGUUCAGCCUGUGUCCCUAGGUUACCAGCACAUCCGCAUGUAUGAUCUCAACUCCAAUAACCCUAACCCCAUCAUCAGCUACGACGGCGUCAACAAGAACAUCGCGUCUGUGGGCUUCCACGAAGACGGCCGCUGGAUGUACACGGGCGGCGAGGACUGCACAGCCAGGAUCUGGGACCUCAGGUGUGGUGGGGAGGGGGCCUGCUGCCCGGGGCUGGGGUGGGCUGCUCUGGGAGACCGUUUUAGG
rnacentral:sRNA from 1 species